AGCAUGGUGUAGUGGUUUGAGAACUGGACUAUGACUUUGGAGGUCAAGGGUUCAAUUCCCCACCAAGCCA